AUGCAGGGUGCCAGCACAUGAGUGGACAUGGGAGGAGCUGGACCUUUCUUCCUCCAUCCCACAGGAGCAGGACUACUGCUUGCCAACACUGCCACCUUUGUCUCUUCACCAAGACCAAAGGCAUGCUGAAACUUCUCUAGCACCCAGAGGAAGCUAACACUGCCACCCAAGAAUUCUCGAGGAUGGUGUUACUACUAUAACAUUCAGCUAUGAUGGAAAUGCUCUAGUCUACCCUCUCCUAUACAGCAGCAGAGGAAAUGGAGUCUCAGAAAGUUUAAGUCAUUUGCUGAAGAUCACACAGUUGACAAGUUCCAGAGCAAGGAUGGCCACCUGCGUCAAGCCAGUCUCUUAGCCAAGAGAGAAAGAG